rnacentral:rRNA from 1 species
CCUACGGGAGGCAGCAGUGGGGAAUUUUGGACAAUGGGGGCAACCCUGAUCCAGCCAUGCCGCGUGAGUGAAGAAGGCCUUCGGGUUGUAAAGCUCUUUCGGCGGGAACGAAAAGGCUCAGGCUAAUACCCUGGGUCGAUGACGGUACUCGCAGAAGAAGCACCGGCUAACUACGUGCCAGCAGCCGCGGUAAUACGUAGGGUGCGAGCGUUAAUCGGAAUUACUGGGCGUAAAGCGUGCGCAGGCGGCUUUUUAAGCCAGACGUGAAAUCCCCGGGCUU